rnacentral:rRNA from 1 species
GCUACCAUGCCAGUCGAGCGGUAGAGAGAAGCUUGCUUCUCUUGAGAGCGGCGGACGGGUGAGUAAUGCCUAGGAAUCUGCCUGGUAGUGGGGGAUAACGCUCGGAAACGGACGCUAAUACCGCAUACGUCCUACGGGAGAAAGCAGGGGACCUUCGGGCCUUGCGCUAUCAGAUGAGCCUAGGUCGGAUUAGCUAGUUGGUGAGGUAAUGGCUCACCAAGGCGACGAUCCGUAACUGGUCUGAGAGGAUGAUCAGUCACACUGGAACUGAGACACGGUCCAGACUCCUACGGGAGGCAGCAGUGGGGAAUAUUGGACAAUGGGCGAAAGCCUGAUCCAGACAUGCCGCGUGUGUGAAGAAGGUCUUCGGAUUGUAAAGCACUUUAAGUUGGGAGGAAGGGCAUUAACCUAAUACGUUAGUGUUUUGACGUUACCGACAGAAUAAGCACCGGCUAACUCUGUGCCAGCAGCCGCGGUAAUACAGAGGGUGCAAGCGUUAAUCGGAAUUACUGGGCGUAAAGCGCGCGUAGGUGGUUCGUUAAGUUGGAUGUGAAAUCCCCGGGCUCAACCUGGGAACUGCAUUCAAAACUGUCGAGCUAGAGUAUGGUAGAGGGUGGUGGAAUUUCCUGUGUAGCGGUGAAAUGCGUAGAUAUAGGAAGGAACACCAGUGGCGAAGGCGACCACCUGGACUGAUACUGACACUGAGGUGCGAAAGCGUGGGGAGCAAACAGGAUUAGAUACCCUGGUAGUCCACGCCGUAAACGAUGUCAACUAGCCGUUGGGAGCCUUGAGCUCUUAGUGGCGCAGCUAACGCAUUAAGUUGACCGCCUGGGGAGUACGGCCGCAAGGUUAAAACUCAAAUGAAUUGACGGGGGCCCGCACAAGCGGUGGAGCAUGUGGGUUUAAUUCGA